UUAAAUGUCCAAGACGCGAUAUGUAUAUAUACCAAUCCCCCAAGACGAAUGUAAUUAAUAUGCAUCACAAACAUAUACUAACAAUAAAAGUAAAAGGAUCCAAAAGGAUCUAGAUGAAGAAUUAAACAUCAGAAAAAAUACAACAAAGUAAAAAACAACACAAUAAUGAACUAAUGAAGAUAAAAGUAGAAAUAAGUGAAAUUGAAAAAAAAAACAAAAAUAAUCGAUCUAGUUUGUGAACCAAAAUCGUUGUUUCUUAAAAAUAUAAACAAUAUAGACAAACUGCUAGGCAUGUCAAUAAAAAUAAAACAGAAAAAGCAAAAAAUAUACAAAUAAAAUACUAGAGAGAUAACAAUUAGAAAAUAAAUUAAUAAAAAAUGUUAUUCAUAGAAAUAGAGGGAAAUGCUGCUAGAUGUAGUGGCACACAACCAUAAUCCGAAUUAAUCAAGAGGCUGAGGCAGAAAGAUCUCAAAUUCAAGGCUAGCCUUGGCAACUUAGGGAGCCCCUGUGGCAUAAGAAAAAGGGCGAGGCUGAGGAAUGUAGCUCAGUGGUGGAGCACUUGUCUAGCAUAUGUGGGGCUCUGCAUUCAAUACUCAGUGCUGCAAAAGAAAAGGAAAGGAAGGAAAGAGGGAGAGAGGGAAGGAAGGAAGGAAGGAAGAAAGGAAAGGAAGGAAGGAAGGAAGGAAGGAAGGAAGGAAGGAAGGAAGGAAGGAUUACCUUCCAGAAACAAUCAGUCCUUAGGUGGUUUCACAAAAGAAUUCUACCAAAUUUUCGAAGACCCAAUAUCCCCAAUGUUUCAUAUAUUAUUCCAGUGCAUUGAAAGUGGAGGAAAAUAUCCUGUCUUUUUACAAAGUAAGUACAGUAUUGAUUACUAAAUUUUGUUUUGUGUUUAGUUUGUUAGUUUUUACUUUUAUUUUUAAUCAAUACAUAAUUGUACAUAUUGGGCUACAGUGUGAUAAAUUUGAUAUAUGUAUAAACUUUGUGAUGAUUAAAUUAUAGUAAUUCAUAUUUUUAGCUACUUAAACAUUUAUCAUUUAUUUGUGGUGGGAACUUACCAACAUUUCCUUCUAGUUCUUUAUAAAAUACAACAUAAAUUGUGGCAAACUUUAGUCAUCUUUCUAUGCUAUAAAACAGUAGCAUUUAUUCCUCUUAUCUAAUUGUCUUUUGGUACCUCUUAUCUGGUCUCCUUCUACCCUCUUUAGUCCCUAUGUAUCCUAGCCACUAUUCUACUCUUUAUUUGUAUGAAAUUAACUUUUUAGCUUCCACGUGUGAGAGAGAACAUGUAGUAUCUUAUUUUCUGCCUCUGGCUUAUUACAUUUCACCUAAUAUCUUCCAUUUCCAUCGCAGUUGCCACAAAUAACAAGAUGUGAUUCUUUUUAUGGCUGAAAACUAUUUCAUUGUAUAUGUUAUAGAUAAAAUCUGGAAUGUCCUUCCAAAAGCCCAUGUAGUAAAGGCUUAAUCCUCAGCCUAUGGUACUAUUGGGAGGAGCUGGAUCUUUUAAGAUGUGGGGCUUGCCUUCUUCCUGAUCUUAGGGAACAUGCUUUCAACUUUUCCCCAUUCAAUAUGAUGUUGGCUAUGGGCUUGUCUUUUACAGCCUAUACUUUGUGGUCCAUUCCUUCUAUAUAUAAUUUUCAGGGGGUUUAUCUUCGUCACUUUUCUUGUUGCUGGGAUUCAGUACCUGAAACCAACAAAUCAAAGAAGGUGAGGUUUAUUUAAUUCAUGGUUUUUAGAGGAUUCAGUCCAUAGUCAGCUGAUUCCAGGGCAGAAGGUGAGGGGAAGAGUCUGAGUAGAGGAAAGUGCUUCAUGUCCUGGCAGCCAGGAAGCAGACAGUAAAGAGAGAAGCCAGGGAGAAAGAUAUACCCUUCCAAGUCAUGUCCCCACUGAUUCGCCUCUUCUGACAAGGUUCCAACCCCUAAGAUCAUAUUUAGCUAUAGCAGCCCCAUGAGUCAAUCACCAUUCAAAAGCUCUGUGUAUGAGCAUGUGAGGUUUGGGGGGAACAUCUAGCGGUAAACCACAACAGUGGUUUAUCAGGAUCUUUUGAGAUGAUCAAAAUGAUGAUAUGGCACUUUUUUUUUUUCUUGCCAUAGUGGAGAUUGAACCCAGGACUUUGAGCACGUUAAGAAAGUCCUCUACUGCUAAGCUACAGAUCCAACCCAUUUUCCCUUAUAUAUUUCUUAUUUUGAUAUAGGGUCUCACUGCUACAGGCUACCUAGGUUCAUACCCUUCUGUUCGUUUGCUCAUCACUGACCAAAUCAAAGGAAGUCAUAUAUUUUGUAAAAAAAGAGAAUGUAUUCAAACUUAGCUCCCAAGAGAUUCAGGAUCGCAUUUGCCUCACAUCACAACUUCUUCUUGUACUAGUGGGCAAGGGCCUUUUAUAGGAAGGAGUGAUAGAGAGGAGCACAGAGACAGGACACAGAUCUUCACGUUUGCUUUAUGGUUUCCAGCCAUCUUUAGCUCAUUGUCCCCUUUCUCGUGGAAAGAAAAUGAAGCUCCAGGCCUCCUGGUGUCAGCAUCUGUAUUUUCUGUCACUUCAUCUGAGCUGAAGAGAGGAGGUGGUGUUGGUUAUGGAAAUUUGGAGAAAUUGCUUAUCUCUACAAGAUUAAAAAAUUGUAACUUUUAAAGUUCUAUUUUGCAAUGCUAGAUGCAUCACUACAUUGCUUAGGCAGGCCUUGAACUUGUGAUACUCCUGUCUUAGCCUCCUGAGCAGCUGGAAUUAUAGGCAUGCACAAUCAGGCUUGGAAAUCAUAUGGGUUUUAUCAUUCAUUCUGUUGAUCCAGUGUAUUAUAUUCAUAUAUUUGCAUAUGUUGAAUCAUCCUUUCGUCUCCAGGAUAAUUCUACUUUGACAGGCUAAUUGCUAGCAUUUUGUUAUAUAUUCAUUAGGGAUAUUAGUCUAUAAUUUUCUUUUUUGUGCAUUUCCUUAUCUAGUUUUGGUACUAGGGCAAUUAGCUUGUAGAGUGAUUUUGGAAAGAUUCUCUCCCUUUCAACAGUUUGGUAUAGUUUGAAAAGAAUUGGUAUCAGCUGUUUUAAAAGUCUGGUAAGAUUGAGUAGUGAAGGCAUGGCUUUUUCUUUGUUGAGAGACAUGUCAUCAGUGAUUUUAUCUCAUGGUUUUUUAUUUCUCUUUUCAGUUUUUCUAUGUAUAGAUUAUUCAACUUCAACACAUAUAUAAUGUGUUCAAAAAUUUAUCUCUUCUACAUUUUCCAACUUGUUAUCAUAUAGUUAUCCAUAAUAAUUUCUAUUGACUCACUGUAUUUCUGUGGUGUCAGUUGUAAUGUCAUUUACAUCUCUGAUUUUAUGUUUAUAUUUUUCUUUUUAUUUUCCUGGUUAGUCUAGAUAGAGGUUUAUCAAUUUUGUUUAUCUUUUUAAAAAACUUUUAUUGUAUUGAUCUUUUGUAUUAUUAUUUAGUCUCUAUUUCAUUUAUUUAUGCUGUUACCUUUGUUAUUUAUGUCCACCUAUUAGUAUUAGGUGGACAUAAUAAAUACCUAUUAGUAUUGGUUUCUUUUUGAUUUUCUAGCUCCUUGUGUUGCAUUGUUAGGUUGUUUAUUAGGAAUCUUUCUCUAUUUUUAUGUACUGCUGUAUUAGUCACUUUCCCAGGACUGGGACAAAAUAGCUGACACAUACAACUUAAAAGAGGAGUGGUUCAUUUUGAGUCAUGGUUUUAGAAGGUUCACUCCAUGGUCAGCUGGCUCCAAGGCAAAAAUGUCAUGGUGGAAGGGCAUGGCAGAAGAGAGCUGCUCAACUCAUGGUAGCUAGGAAGCAGAGAGAUGAGGGAGAAGCCAGGAACAAGAAUACAUCCUUCCAGGUCCCAGACCUAGGGACCCACCUCUAUCCAGGCCCCCUCUAUUAAGAGCACACUUGUAGAUGAAUUCAUCAACAGAUUAAUGCACUGAUUAGCAUAGUGCCACUGUGAUCAAAUCACUUUUCAAAAGCCCUACCUCUGAACAUCUGAGACUCUUGGAGGACAUUUUAAAUGUAAACGAAAAGAAAUUAUUUUUGCUGUAUCCCAUAGGUUUUGACAUGUUUUGUUUACACUUUCAUUUGUUUCAAGAAAAUUUUAAUUUCUCUUUUGAUUUCACCAUUGAUCUAUUUAUUGUUCAAGAGUAUGUAGUGUAAUUUCCAUAGUUUGUAUAAUUUCUAAAGUUCUUGUUAGUUUCUAAUUUUAAUCCAUUGUGAUCAGAAAAAAAUACAUGAUACAAUUUUGAUUCUUUAAAAUUUUGUUGAGACUUAUUUUGUGACUUAAUAUAUUAUCUAUCUUGGAGAUUGUCCCAGGUCCUGAUGAGAAGAAUCUAUAUUCUGUAGCCGCUGGGUAAAUUAUUCUGUAGAUGUCUGUUAGAUCCAUUUAGUUAACAGUACAGUUUAACUCUGGUAUUUUUUUUGUAGAUUUUUUUUCACUAAAUAAUCAGUUCAUUGGCAAAAAUGGGGUCCUGAUGGUCCCUAUUAUUGUACUGGGGUCGAUCUUUCAUUUUAGAUAAAAUAAUGUUUGCGUUACAUAAUUGAGUGCCCAAGAUUGGGUGCAUAUAUACUUACAAUUGUUAUUUCUCCUUGCUGAAUUGAUCCCCUUACCAUUAUCAAGUGACUUUUGUUUAUUUUGCAGUUUUGACUUAAAAAUCUAUUUUAUCUCGCAUAAAACAGAAAUAUGAGAAGACAAGGAAAAAAUGCCUCCACAAGCUCUCAACUCCCUAAAGCAGAUAAAGGGAUCAUUGAGGGGAAGGAAAUCAAAACCCACGUAGCAAAACAUCUAAAAGAUAUCAUUGGAGGAACCAAGGGCAGAACACAGAAAUGUGGAGAGGCCUUUCAACCAAGACAUGUUCAGGGCCUCUUCGCCGGCAGGCGGCGGGACCCAUUUGGGAGGCAGAAGCAGCAACCACGGCCCGGCUUGAGGGGCGCUCCUGGGGCCAAGGCCAUGGCCCCGCGGCUGCAGCUAGAGAAGGCCGCCUGGCGCUGGGCGGAGACCGUGCGGCGCGAGGAGGGGUCGCAGGAGCACAUCGAGACCACCUACCGCAUCUGGCUGGAGCCCUGCAUCCGCUGUGUUUGCAGACGCAACUGCAAAGGAAAUCCAGAUUGCCUGGUUGGGACUGGACCAAGCCCUAAAAGAUCAUUUUGGAGAAAAGGUGGUGGCAGGAUGAAUACUGGAGAUGGCUGGAAGUCAGAAACUCACCGGCCCAAGUGUCCAAAUAUUGGAUUCCAUGGUCAGAGAUGCAGGAGUACCUCUCUGGGGACUUAAAAUAGAUAACUUGCUGCAGAGAGAGGUCGUGUUUGUGGCUGUAGCUGAGAAUGGCUGUGCUCUGCACCGGCUUCGUCCCAUCAGUCCUCACCAUGGACACUUGCUCAGACAUCAAGUCUCCAUCUCUACUCCCGCUGUACCCCGUGAAGUAAAGUAGUGAAGAACAGGCUUUCCCACCGUGAUACCACUGUCCUGGUUUCUUGUGUUACAGGCUGCUCCUUCACAGUCCCUUGGGUAUCUUUUUGAGUGCGGCAGCCAGAGCGUCGCGUCUACGGGGAGAAUUACAGUAACCGGUUGUCAGUGAUGAGUCAGAGUGCGUGGUGCUGAUGCUGCUGCCAUUUCAUCACCUUUGCGAGCGCAGCAUCCAUCCCUCCGCUCUCCCCGAGCCUGGGCCUAUCUCGCUUUGGGUUCCCGGGCCAGCGAUGCGCUCCCGGCCGAGCUAAAUCGGAACUGAACUGCGCUGUACGAGGCCUUGGCGGGGCGCCCGUCCCGCUGCCCUCGUCCCGGGCC